GUACCAUGUCCCAGACCACUAGCACAAAGUCCAGGAGUCUAAAGGCAUGAAUUCCCAAAUAUAUUGUUCCUCGGAGACAUCUGAGUCUGCUUCUGAAGAAAACUGUGAGAUUUAGGACAAUUCUAAGUAUGCUAUCUCUGUGCACAGCCCACAAGCAGAAAAAAAUAGAUGACUUGAAGGAGGCGGUGGAGCCCUUGGAUCACUAGUUCUCAGCCUGGAUGGUUUUGUCACCCCAGGGGAUAUAUAACAAUGUAUGGAGAUAUUUUGAUUGUCACAACUGGGAAUAUGCUGUUGGUAUCUGACUAGACCAGACUGGAUGGACUAUGCUCUAAUAUCCUAGAAUUUCCUGCUUCCAUAUGGAAAAGAACCUACAACAAAAAUGAAGAAGUCAUACUUCAGCUUUUAUCUUCUUGUGGCUCAAUCAAAUGAGAUGCUCUAUGGCUUCUUCUCUUUUCCGAUGUGGACCCAGAAUUCCUGUGAGAAAUAUCUCCAGUGCUUUCAAGCUGUUCCUGCUGACACUUCCCUUCGCGAUUUGGGCUGCUGUGGUCCCUCGAAGCCUUUUUUCUUCCGGCUUCCGAUUCAACGGGCUUCUUUCCUUCAAAGGCAACUCCAUGUCAACCCUAACAAUCAACAAAAGACUCUUACCACGGAAACCUAAUAGCUUGCUUGUCCUACCUGCCGACCUUCUUCAAAGCACACAAGAGCACCCAAUGACCAUACACCCGCAAAAGCGUUUGCACCGAUGGGUGAAAUCCUAAAACGUGGAAGCAUCUUGAAAGCAAAUGUUAAUCAUCUCUUGAUGUGGCACUGAGGGUUGAAGAAGGAUGGAAGACAUUGUUGAAGGUCUGUGAAGCCUGGUCUUUCCAGUCAUUGGUAAGGCACCGAUAUAAGAUACCUCUGUGAAUGAAAAUAAUUCAAUAUGCAUGUAAUGAAAGGAAGUUUUUAUUUUUGACAAAUUGGGAGAAUCAGGACAUGUAUUUAUUGAAGAUUUUCAGAAGAUGAACAAGAGAGACAUGCCCAGUGACUUGGCAAGAGCUCUUAAGGAAACAAGAAAGAACACCAUCUCAACUUAAACAUGCUGGGACAGGGGAGGAGACCAAGAAUGUUGACUUUCAAGAGCCAGAAAACUUCAGACAUAUGAAUUAAAUAAACAUUGGCUUGAAGGAAGCUGAUCUGAAGAG
rnacentral:lncRNA from 1 species